rnacentral:rRNA from 1 species
GACGAACGCUGGCGGCGUGCUUAACACAUGCAAGUCGAACGGAAAGGCCCUGCUUUUGUGGGGUGCUCGAGUGGCGAACGGGUGAGUAACACGUGAGUAACCUGCCCUUGACUUUGGGAUAACUUCAGGAAACUGGGGCUAAUACCGGAUAGGAGCUCCUGCUGCAUGGUGGGGGUUGGAAAGUUUCGGCGGUUGGGGAUGGACUCGCGGCUUAUCAGCUUGUUGGUGGGGUAGUGGCUUACCAAGGCUUUGACGGGUAGCCGACCUGAGAGGGUGACCGGCCACAUUGGGACUGAGAUACGGCCCAGACUCCUACGGGAGGCAGCAGUGGGGAAUAUUGCACAAUGGGCGGAAGCCUGAUGCAGCAACGCCGCGUGCGGGAUGACGGCCUUCGGGUUGUAAACCGCUUUCGCCUGUGACGAGGCGUGAGUGACGGUAAUGGGUAAAGAAGCACCGGCUAACUACGUGCCAGCAGCCGCGGUGAUACGUAGGGUGCGAGCGUUGUCCGGAUUUAUUGGGCGUAAAGGGCUCGUAGGUGGUUGAUCGCGUCGGAAGUGUAAUCUUGGGGCUUAACCCUGAGCGUGCUUUCGAUACGGGUUGACUUGAGGAAGGUAGGGGAGAAUGGAAUUCCUGGUGGAGCGGUGGAAUGCGCAGAUAUCAGGAGGAACACCAGUGGCGAAGGCGGUUCUCUGGGCCUUUCCUGACGCUGAGGAGCGAAAGCGUGGGGAGCGAACAGGCUUAGAUACCCUGGUAGUCCACGCUGUAAACGGUGGGUACUAGGUGUGGGGUCCAUUCCACGGGUUCCGUGCCGUAGCUAACGCUUUAAGUACCCCGCCUGGGGAGUACGGCCGCAAGGCUAAAACUCAAAGGAAUUGACGGGGCCCCGCACAAGCGGCGGAGCAUGCGGAUUAAUUCGAUGCAACGCGUAGAACCUUACCUGGGUUUGACAUGGAUCGGGAGUGCUCAGAGAUGGGUGUGCCUCUUUUGGGGUCGGUUCACAGGUGGUGCAUGGCUGUCGUCAGCUCGUGUCGUGAGAUGUUGGGUUAAGUCCCGCAACGAGCGCAACCCUUGUUCACUGUUGCCAGCACGUUAUGGUGGGGACUCAGUGGAGACCGCCGGGGUCAACUCGGAGGAAGGUGGGGAUGACGUCAAGUCAUCAUGCCCCUUAUGUCCAGGGCUUCACGCAUGCUACAAUGGCUGGUACAGAGAGUGGCGAGCCUGUGAGGGUGAGCGAAUCUCGGAAAGCCGGUCUCAGUUCGGAUUGGGGUCUGCGACUCGACCUCAUGAAGUCGGAGUCGCUAGUAAUCGCAGAUCAGCAACGCUGCGGUGAAUACGUUCCCGGGGCU